rnacentral:rRNA from 1 species
GAUGAACGCUGGCGGCGUGCCUAAUACAUGCAAGUCGAGCGAACAGACGAGGAGCUUGCUCCUCUGACGUUAGCGGCGGACGGGUGAGUAACACGUGGAUAACCUACCUAUAAGACUGGGAUAACUUCGGGAAACCGGAGCUAAUACCGGGUAAUAUAUUGAACCGCAUGGUUCAAUAGUGAAAGACGGUUUUGCUGUCACUUAUAGAUGGAUCCGCGCCGCAUUAGCUAGUUGGUAAGGUAACGGCUUACCAAGGCAACGAUGCGUAGCCGACCUGAGAGGCUGAUAGGCCACACAGGAACUGAGACACGGACCAGACUCCUACGAGAGGCAGCAGUAGGGACUCUUCCGCAAUGAGCGAGAGCCUGACGGAGCAACGCCGCGUGAGUGAUGAAGGUCUUCGGAUCGUAAAACUGUGUUAUUAGGGAAGAACAAAUGUUUAAGUAACUAUGCACGUCUUGACGGUACCUAAUCAGAAAGCCACGGCUAACUACGUG